UACUGUUCUUUUUCUUUUAUUUUUUUUUCUUUCCCUCUUAUUUUCCUCAAUUUCCCCCCUGUGUAGUUUUCCCCAAAUUGAUUUCCAUCUCCCCAAAAUUAACCGCUCACAUUUAAGAUCUGCAUUCAUCAAUUUCCUCCAGGGUCGGAGUUUGAGAAACUGAUAAGCAGCCAGUUAGGGUUUUGAACAAGAUGAUGUCAGUGGUCGGAAUGGUAGUAUCGAACAAAAUGUAGAAAUCGGUGGUGGCCGCCGUCGAUAGGCUCUUCCAUAACAAGCUCUACAAUCGAUACUUCAAACGCACUUCCAUAUUCAUGGCACACGAGGAAACAAAUCAGUGCAAUAUCGGCGAUCGAGUAUGUUUCUCUUAUUCUAUGUGAUUAAUAGUGUUUGAUUAUGUAAUGUUAUGGAACCAUAAUUUGUAUUUGGAUUGAAAAUAACUGCUUGAUGGUUAUGAGUUCAUCCUGUUUGAUCAUGUAUGUUAGAAACUAGAAAUUAUCACAAUAUGUAUAGGCCAUAGCAAUAGCAGAGAAAAUUGCUUGAUUGAAAUUUGCCCUAAACAUAAACAUAGCCAAAACAAACAAAUGCAUUCAAAUUUCAAAUUGUUGGGAUUUGUGGAGGCUUCGACCUAGUGGCAGCCGACCCUAAUACGCUAUUCGCUAUAGCGGGCGCUAAGCUCGCUAUUUACAACUACUUUUAGCAGCUUGCCUAAAUUGGCGCUUUGUGUUACUAAAGUGUAAAUUACGCCCCGCUUGCGGUAUGCGUAUAUAAUGGAUAUAUAUGUGAUUCUCGAUACAGUUGGCUUUGAUAGCAGGGCUUACAAUCCUAGGUAUUGCUACGCAUCCUUGUUUUACCUUUCAAUUACUUAAUAAGCACAACAUAUAUACAUUAGUAUACCUUUUGUUAAGCAUCAUAUUAAUUUUUAGUUAUAACUAUGUUUUUUAUGAUGUAAUUCGAUAUCAUGACUUUAGGAUCUUUUGAAGGAUCAUGUAAAUUGUAUCACUUUUUUAUAUGGGCAGUUCAGCAUCAUACUGUGUUGAUUGUAAACAAAAAGUUAAUGUCUAAAUGCCCCUUAGCAUGAAAAUACAAGAGGAUGAGUUAUUUUUUUUAAUCUUAACAGUUGAUGUUUAUACAAGAAAUAACUGUGUCCAUUUUUUAUCUUUGUUGAUCUCUGGGUUUUAAAUGCACGCUUGAGGCGCGAGGUGCACUAAGGCCAGGCCUCAGCGUAAGUUUAUGAGAACGAAGGGGGUAUUAUAAGAUCUCAAGAUGACAAGAUGAGGCUAAUAAGGAUGAGGAGUAUGAAGGCAUGGGUGAUAUGACAAGUUACAAUUUAUUUGGCAAAAUGAAUUACUUCUUUUGGUGCCUGAGUGCCCCUUCUCUUCAGUCCUCUCUGCUUCUCGUUGCCGCCCUUUCUUUGCUAGACCGUCACUAGCACAUUAUCUGGUAGUCGCUGCCCCCACCGGUGUGUAGUUGAUUACUUGAAGAAGGCGGUCAGGUGCCUGCAGUUCUGGCAUCGUAAAACGCUUAAAACUAAAGCGGUAGGAAGGUAGCAUGGAAAGGCCCACUUAGAAGAAUUUCCAAGUUUGAUCAGGGGCCCCGAGGUCGUUGACAAAAAUAAAGAGAUUUCUUCUCACAACAAAUUCCUUAGCUUGCUGAAUAGAGAUGAUGUUUUCUUUAGUUGAGCGAGAUACCAAGGGUUGUCAUUGAUUAACCAAAGUCGACUUAAUUGAAACUGAUUGGUUAUCAUUGAUAAAUAUGAUGACACUGCAACGUAAAUUUUAGUUGCUUGCUCUAUGGCUCAAAUCAUUUGGCUAUGAAGACAUUCAUUUUGCAAUUGCGGAACAAAUGAAGAACUACAAAUCUUUAGAAGAAGAUGAAGUGAUUUGGUUGAUCCUUUUAUCCUUGUAAUGAACAAGGAGCAUGAUGGCUACAUUUGACUUUACGGAAGAGGUGUUACUUUAAAAAUGAUGAACAAAAUGGGAGAUGGUGAGGAACCAUACAUGAUACAUGAUUUGGGGCUUAAGCAAUAAUUCAAAGCCAGCCUUGAAGUUAAAAAGACAUAGUUGCUUGAAAUUCAAGAAAACCUUCAAAGAAAAAAAGCAAAGCCAGAAGCUAUAUAGAAAGAUUUUGACAACCAAUGAGCAGAAUUUGAAACUACGAUGCAAAUAUCAUUGAAAAACUUUCUAUUAGAGUACUUGAAGUUCUUAGAGAUGAGCAGAGGUUUCCGUUACUUAUUAUCAUUGUUAUUUUGAUUAAUUGUUAUUAUGAGUCUAGACAUAUUACGAUAAAAGAUUAUUUAUUAUAUUUAUGUUAUUAUUUUGUUUGUGUAAUUGAGAUACUAUUCUAUAUUAA